UACGGGGGGAGCAAGCGUUGUUCGGAUUUACUGGGCGUAAAGGGCGCGUAGGCGGCCACCGCAAGUCGACUGUGAAAUCUCCGGGCUUAACUCGGAAAGGUCAGCCGAUACUGCGGGGCUAGAGUGCAGAAGGGGCAACUGGAAUUCUCGGUGUAGCGGUGAAAUGCGUAGAUAUCUGGAGGAACACCGGUGGCGAAGGCGGCAUCCUGGACCGGUAUUGACGCUGAGGCGCGAAAGCCAGGGGAGCAAACGGG
rnacentral:rRNA from 1 species